rnacentral:rRNA from 1 species
GUGAGGAAUAUUGGUCAAUGGGCGAGAGCCUGAACCAGCCAAGUCGCGUGAAGGAAGACGGCCCUACGGGUUGUAAACUUCUUUUGCAAUGGAAUAAAAAGAGCUACGUGUAAUUCAUUGUAUGUACAUUGCGAAUAAGGAUCGGCUAACUCCGUGCCAGCAGCCGCGGUAAUACGGAGGAUCCGAGCGUUAUCCGGAUUUAUUGGGUUUAAAGGGUGCGUAGGCGGAUUGGAAAGUCAGCGGUGAAAGUUUGCAGCUUAACUGUAAAAUUGCCAUUGAAACUGUCAGUCUUGAGUGCAAAUGAGGUAGGCGGAAUGUGUUGUGUAGCGGUGAAAUGCAUAGAUAUAACACAGAACACCAAUUGCGAAGGCAGCUUACUGGGAUGCAACUGACGCUGAGGCACGAAAGCGUGGGGAUCAAACAGGAUUAGAAACCCGAGUAGUCC